GACGUAGGGCGCGAGCGUUGUCCGGAUUUAUUGGGCGUAAAGAGCUCGUAGGCGGCUCGUUGCGUCGUCUGUGAAAACCCGCAGCUCAACUGUGGGCUUGCAGCUGAUACGGGCGGGCUGGAGUUCGGUAGGGGAGACUGGAAUUCCUGGUGUAGCGGUGAAAUGCGCAGAUAUCAGGAGGAACACCGGUGGCGAAGGCGGGUCUCUGGGCCGAUACUGACGCUGAGGAGCGAAAGCGUGGGGAGCGAACAGG
rnacentral:rRNA from 1 species